AUCCAGAGAUGGAUUUGUGCCUUCGGGAACUGUGAGACAGGUGCUGCAUGGCUGUCGUCAGCUCGUGUUGUGAAAUGUUGGGUUAAGUCCCGCAACGAGCGCAACCCUUAUCCUUUGUUGCCAGCGGUCCGGCCGGGAACUCAAAGGAGACUGCCAGUGAUAAACUGGAGGAAGGUGGGGAUGACGUCAAGUCAUCAUGGCCCUUACGACCAGGGCUACACACGUGCUACAAUGGCGCAUACAAAGAGAAGCGACCUCGCGAGAGCAAGCGGACCUCAUAAAGUGCGUCGUAGUCCGGAUUGGAGUCUGCAACUCGACUCCAUGAAGUCGGAAUCGCUAGUAAUCGUGGAUCAGAAUGCCACGGUGAAUACGUUCCCGGGCCUUGUACACACCGCCCGUCACACCAUGGGAGUGGGUUGCAAAAGAAGUAGGUAGCUUAACCUUCGGGAGGGCGCUUACCACUUUGUGAUUCAUGACUGGGGUGAAGUCGUAACAAGGUAACCGUAGGGGAACCUGC
rnacentral:rRNA from 3 species